rnacentral:rRNA from 1 species
UACGUAGGGGGCAAGCGUUAUCCGGAUUUACUGGGUGUAAAGGGGGCGUAGACGGCGAAGCAAGUCUGAAGUGAAAGGACGGGGCCAACCCCGGAACUGCUUUGGAAACUGUUUGGCUAGAGUGCGGGAGGGGUAAGCGGAAUUCCUAGUGUAGCGGUGAAAUGCGUAGAUAUUAGGAGGAACACCGGUGGCGAAGGCGGCUUACUGGACCGUAACUGGCGUUGAGGCUCGAAGGCGUGGGGAGCAAACA